GGGGUUGUAGCUCAGUGGUAGAGCACCAGAUUGCAAAUCUGAUGGUCGCCGGUUCAAUCCCGGCCAAUCCCU